AAUUUUAAGGUCAAGCUACAAAGGGCGCAUGGUGAAUGCCUUGGCACUAGGAGCCGAAGAAGGACGCGAUAAGCUGCGAUAAGCCUUGGGUAGCCGCAAAUAGGCUGAGAUCCAGGGAUUUCCGAAUGAGGAAACUCACAUGGGUAACCCCAUGUAUUAUGCACUGAAUACAUAGGUGUAUAAGGGUAAACCCGGGGAACUGAAACAUCUAAGUACCCGGAGGAAGAGAAAGA
rnacentral:rRNA from 1 species